ensembl:snRNA U1 U1 spliceosomal RNA
AAACUUACACGACAGGGAAGAUCCCAUGAUCCUCUCAGCCCAUCAGGUAUAGUUAUAGGGUGAGGUCUGUCCCUUGCACUCUGGGCAGGCUGACCCCAGCGAGUUUCCCCAAUGCAGGUAACUCGACUGCACAAUCUUGUGGUAAUUGGGGACUGCAUUCUUACUUUCCCCAU